rfam:Chlorocebus sabaeus isolate 1994-021 chromosome 24, whole genome shotgun sequence.
UCCGGGUAUGGUGGUGCAUACCUGUAAUCCCAGCACUUUGGGAGGCCAAGGUGGUUGGAUCUCUUAAGACCAGGAGUUCAAGACCAGCCUGAGCAACGUGGUGAAACCUCGUCUCUACCAAAAAUACAANNNNNNNNNNUUGUAUUUUUGGUAGAGACGAGGUUUCACCACGUUGCUCAGGCUGGUCUUGAACUCCUGGUCUUAAGAGAUCCAACCACCUU